rnacentral:lncRNA from 1 species
GAUCCCUACUGUGGUUAUGAUGAUGGCUACGCCAUAAGAGGAGGAGAAGGAAGGGGGUGAGGUGCUCCACCACCACCAAGGGGUCGAGGAGCACCACCUCUAAGAGGUAGAGCUGGCUCUUCACAGAGGGGGGGUGUACCUUUGGGACCACCAAGAGGCUCAAGGUGUGUCAGAGGGGAUCCUGCACAACAGCAGAGAGGCCAUGGUUCUUGUAGAGCUCGGGACAGUCGAGGGGGCACUGUCGGAGGCAAAAGAAAGGCAGAUGGGUACAACCGGCCUGAUUCCAAACAUCGUCAGACCAACAACCAACAGAACGGGGUUCCCAACUCAUCGCUCGGCAGCCACUUCAGCAAGGUGGUAACUAUUCUGGUAACUAUGGUUACAAUAAUGACAACCAAGAAUUUUAUCGGGAUACCUGUGGACAACAGUGGAAAUAAACCUGCGAGGGCUUGAAAACGAUUGUCAAGGUCCAGUUGACUCUAGAUCUGCAUUCUUCAAACAAAAUUAGCAUAACUUCCAUCUUUAGCAGUGUGCUGCCAUUUGUAUUCAGCUGAAGAAGUCACUAUUGUGUAUACACUCAAGGCUUCUUUUUUUUUUUUUUUUUUCUUUUCUCGAUGCUCUUGAGCAUUAUUGGGCCUGCAUUCUUCUGGGGUUACAAUGCUUUUAUCCUUCCAAGCAUCAUCCUAGUUGCAGAAGAAACUGUUAAAUCAUGAUUUUGCAGAACCUUUGGUUUGAACAGUUGUGGGUUUUUGGACCUGGAAUAGAGUACAUAGGAGUGUGAAAUAUGCUGUAAAUAAAAGCACAAGCCAGUGCUCUGUCUUAGUAGUUUUAAGAAAUUAAAGCAAACAGACUUAACAUUUCCUUGUAUUGAAAGUAACCUAUGACUGCAUGUUUUGCAUUCCUAGAAGCAGGUUAAGUAUGUUUGUAAGUUGUUAUAACCACACCUCUUUAAAAUCUGCCCCUACAAAAUUUGUUUGGCUUAAACAUCAAAGCUGUGACAAUUUGUUCUUCAAUGUGAUUGUAUUUCCAAUUUCUUGUUCAUGUAAAAUAUCAAUAAAACUCAAAAAUCUAUUCAAAACGAACAAAAAGAUUUCUAAAGUAUGCAUACGCUUCCAAGAAGGGAGCCUGCAUUCAUGCUGGCAGCUGAGCAGGUGCCAGUCCCUGGGCACGGUGACUCUCCAGCUCGUGCGCUCUCAGUCUCUGACCUGGCACGCUCUUGCUUUCACAGUGAUAUGUCCAAAUGCUGGCAGUGGUGGCCGUCCUGACAACAGUUCCAUGAUUUUCUACAACAACAACACAGAAGUGCAGCUGUUUGAGAAGUGGUGGGACAAGUCCAGGACAGUGCCCUUCUACCUUAUAGGGCUCCUCUUGCCGCUGCUCAACUUCAAGUCUCCUUCAUUCUUCUCCAAAUUUAAUAUCCUGGGAACGGUGUCUGUCCUCUAUUUGAUUUUCGUUGUUACCCUGAAGGCUGUUCGCUUAGGAUUCCAUCUGGAAUUUCACUGGUUUGUGCCAACAGAAUUUUUUGUACCAGGUGAGUUUGUCAAAAUAAGAACUCAAUCACUACAUAAUGACAGCGUGUUCUUUAAGGUGACUGCUAUGGACUGUAAGUCUGAAACAGGCAAUAGCAGGAUAAUAUGCUAGCUCUCACUGCUGAUAUCAGCACUUGGGAGGCAGAGACAGAGUUCUAGACCAGCCUGGGUCGUGGAGUAAGAUGUGCCUCAGAAAAGCAUAAAUAAAUAAACAAUACAGAACAACAGUUGGCAUUUCAGACAGCUAAGGAUAACCAAGGUUUUAUUUUCAACUAGACACUUGAAGUCUAUUUAAUUUAUAGUGCCCUUAAAAAAACCUAAAGUUUAUUCUCAAGACCUUUCUAGGGAAUGCAUGCUUUGGAUGUCAGAGACGUAGAACAUCGUAAUGCAUGUCGAUAAUUUGCUCAUAAAAAUCAUUGUUCAUAGCUGGGCAUGACGGCACACGCCUUUAAUCCCAGCACGCACAAGGCAGAGGCAAGCAGGAUCGCUGCGACUUUGAGGCCAGCUGGCCUUAUUGUGAUUUCCAGGCCAGCCAGGGCUACAUAGUAUUUGUUGUGAGAUCCUGUCUACAGAAAGAAAGAUGGAAAGAAAAGGAGGGAGGGAGGGAGCAAGCGAGAGGAAGAUAACUCAUUCUCCUUAUAGGUUUUUCUGUUAGUCAUUUUAUUGUUUUUCAGGUUAAGAUCACAAUUAUUAAAUGGAUUUUAUACCUGUCCCAUUUCUCUUCCCGAUUAUGAUAUGACAAUUUAGUUCACCCAAAUGUAAAAGAUGUAUGACACUUAAAGAAAAAAGCACCAAUAAAACAAUGAAUAAAUGAAUGAAUGGCUACUAAAUGAGAAAACCGAUUAAGAAAUGAAAAUGACUGUCUCACACACAUCUUGCACAGUGAUCAUGAGCGAAUGGCACUGAUUCUGGUUUAGAGACUGGUCUGCGCUCCGCCAUCAGCUCUAGCAGUCUGCAGUCCCAGUCACUACUCAGAAGCGGGCUGUGCUUGUGGAGUUUGUGCUUGGAGCUGUCUCUCUCUUUGUUGUUGCUGUUUGUUUGUUUAUUAUAACUUUUGUAGGUUUUCAAGCUGCAUUGAGUAGGUGGUUCCUGGAAACUGUUGAUUAUGUUACUAUGGCUACUUGUUCUCAGCACAUUUGACUUUAUUCUCUUUGAUUUUCCAACGUACUGAGCCUUGAAAGGGCAUACUUCUUUCCCGGAUGGUGUGCUGGCACACACCUUUAAUCCCAGCAUUGGGGAGGAGGAGGAGGCAGCUGGAUCUCUGUGAGUUCCAGGACAGCCAAAGCUACAUAAUUGAGAGACCCUGUCACAAAAAGAC